rnacentral:rRNA from 1 species
GUCCAGACUCCUACGGGAGGCAGCAGUGGGGAAUAUUGCGCAAUGGGGGAAACCCUGAUGCAGCGACGCCGCGUGAAGGAAGAAGUAUUUCGGUAUGUAAACUUCUAUCAGCAGGGAAGAAAAUGACGGUACCUGACUAAGAAGCCCCGGCUAACUACGUGCCAGCAGCCGCGGUAAUACGUAGGGGGCAAGCGUUAUCCGGAUUUACUGGGUGUAAAGGGAGCGUAGGCGGUUUAGCAAGUCAGAAGUGAAAGCCCGGGGCUCAACUCCGGGACUGCUUUUGAAACUGUUGAACUAGAUUGCAGGAGAGGUAAGUGGAAUUCCUAGUGUAGCGGUGAAAUGCGUAGAUAUCAGGAGGAACACCGGCGGCGAAGGCGGCCUGCUGGACCGCGACUGACGUUGAGGCUCGAAAGCGUGGGGAGCGAACAGGAUUAGAUACCCGCGUA